rnacentral:rRNA from 1 species
AGCAGCCGCGGUAAUUCCAGCUCCAAUAGCGUAUAUUAAAGUUGCUGCAGUUAAAAAGCUCGUAGUUGAAUUUCGGGACCAUCAUGUCGGUCGUGCCUCGGUACGUACUGGUAUUGUUGGUUUCUCCCUUCUGACGAACCAUGAUGUCAUUAAUUUGGUGUCAUGGGGAAUCAGGACUGUUACUUUGAAAAAUUAGAGUGUUUAAAGCAGGCUCGCGCUUGAAUACAUCAGCAUGGAAUAAUGAAAUAGGACGUUUAAUUCUAUUUUGUUGGUUUCUAGGAUUGACGUAAUGAUUAAUAGGGAUAGUUGGGGGCAUUAGUAUUCAAUUGUCAGAGGUGAAAUUCUUGGAUUUAUUGAAGACUAACUACUGCGAAAGCAUUUGCCAAGGAUGUUUUCAUUAAUCAAGAACGAAAGUUAGGGGAUCGAAGACGAUCAGAUACCGUCGUAGUC